GAUGAACGCUAGCUACAGGCUUAACACAUGCAAGUCGAGGGGCAGCGCAGUGUAGCAAUACACGGGCGGCGACCGGCGCACGGGUGCGUAACGCGUAUCCAACCUUCCCGUUACUCUCGGAUAGCCUUCCGAAAGGGAGAUUAAUACGAGAUGGUGUUGAAAUUCCGCAUGUUAUUUCAACUAAAGAUUCAUCGGUAACGGAUGGGGAUGCGUGACAUUAGGUAGAUGGCGGGGUAACGGCCCACCAUGCCGACGAUGUCUAGGGGUUCUGAGAGGAAGGUCCCCCACACUGGAACUGAGACACGGUCCAGACUCCUACGGGUGGCAGCAGUGAGGAAUAUUGGUCAAUGGCCGGAAGGCUGAACCAGCCAAGUAGCGUGAAGGAUGAAGGUUCUAUGGAUUGUAAACUUCUUUUAUACAGGAAUAAAACCACCUACGUGUAGGUGCUUGUAUGUACCGUAUGAAUAAGCAUCGGCUAACUCCGUGCCAGCCGCCGCAGUAAAAC
rnacentral:rRNA from 1 species